UUUUCUUCAACUAGACCAGGAUUUAUCGAUCUAACACAUAAUGCCUCCAAGAAAGGGUAGCUUAAAUGCUGUGCGUGCAAAUGAUAGAAUAAGGAAAAUUCAAGAAAAGGGUA